GCAUUCAACAAAUUCAUUUGGCUAAGAGUCAACGCUGCCAUGUCCAAGACUGCUUAACAACACCUGAAUUUGAUGCAAAUGGUACAAAUUACAUAAGCUUCAAAGAAGCACACAAACCUUAAAAUGCCAACGAAAUGUAACAGUCUGGUGAGUUCUAUCGCAUCGACUUGGUGGAAAUGUUUUCUGCGAAGGGGAGUCCUGGGCUGUUGCUAUGGUGACUAAUCUGAUUUCUGGACUCUUCACUGGCCACCUCCUCCUCAUCCAUCUCAUGGUCAAGCAACUGAACUGUGGAGACUCCUUCCCCUCUCCUCUCUUCCCUUCCCCUCUCCUCUCUUCCCUUCCCCUCUCCUCUCUUCCCUUCCCCUCUCCUCUCUUCCCUUCCCCUCUCCUCUCUUCCCUUCGCUUCCCUUCUCUACCUGAUCACACAGAGGGAACGUUGGCACCAUCAUCAAAGUGGAGAAGAGGAAGGGAUGCUUGGCGCUUGAUGAAGAGGACAGUGUGGCAUUUCAACAGAGUUCAGAGGACGUGACGGGAUGGCACCCUGGUGGAACAAACAAACCCAAACCAGUGCCGGCUCUGCUGCAGCCUUCUAUGGCCUUCCUGCUGAUUCCAGCACAGUUACCCUAUAAUUACCACUCCAGGUGCUGAAUUGCAACUUUUCUUCUUUUAUUUUUUUUUCGUCUCUCCUUCUGCCACUAUAACACUGGACUGGAUGGAGUUUCUUUCGCCACGCGUGUGCUGGCUGGCCGCAACAGCUCGAUGUCAUGAAGUCACUGGGUCGUUUUCCUGACAUGUGUAGCAUCAAAGAACAAAAUAAACAAUUUCACCUGGAGUCGAGUGUGACUCAGU